rnacentral:pre_miRNA from 1 species
GGGCUCCACAUGCAGAGGAUGGAGCUGAAUGGGAUUUUGCUGCCUGAAAUGGUCCCAUCCAGCCCCAGUCCUGCUGCACGGGGAGGCA